CAUUAUGAAGCUAGUAAGCAUUAACCUUUUAAGUUAAAGACUGAGAGCUUAACCUCUCCAUAAUGA
rnacentral:tRNA from 1 species